UUGGGGUUUGCCGUUUUCAUUUUCAGCACCAGAGACCUGGCUUCGGCUACCUCACACUCUCUCGCGCCUUCCCCUCCUUCCUCGACAACACUCUCUGGACUGCCGCAGGAUUGACGGCUGCAAAUCUCCCAACGCAUUUCGACGACCAGAUUCAAACCACAUACUUCCACACGGCCGUAACUUGAUGUGACUCGUGACUCCAAGCCACUCUUCCCGCGCUUCCGACUUCAAUCGUAGGACUUUUAUGUUGUUUAUUUCCUUUGAAAACUACUUUGGUUGUGUAACUAAGAAUUUCUUAGAUUGCUCUGAUAUUGCCUAUGAAGGGUUGAAAUUGAGGUCGGAUGCCUAUUUUGUGAACUGUGUGCUUUAGCAUUGUGUGUGCUGCUAGUUGGGAUGUUUAAUGUGUUGCUUUUAUCGAUGGAAAAUUUUGGGAUU